rnacentral:rRNA from 1 species
GACGAAGGUGGCGAGCGUUGUUCGGUGUUACUGGGCUUAAAGAGUAUGUAGGCGGAAUGGUAAGCGUCUUGUGAAAUCCCUCAGCUUAACUGAGGAAUCGCUCGGCGAACUGUCAUUCUUGAGGCAAGUAGGGGUACAUGGAACUCUUGGUGGAGCGGUGGAAUGCGUAGAUAUCAAGAGGAACGCCGAUGGUGAAAACAGUGUACUGGGCUUGUCCUGACGCUGAGAUACGAAAGCGUGGGGAGCGAACGGGAUUAGAUACCCUAGUA